UGCCGGGUCGUCUAACGGUAGGACAGCGGCCUUUGGAGCCGCUUAUUCAGGUUCGAAUCCUGGCCCGGCAGCCA
rnacentral:tRNA from 1 species